AUUGAACGCUGGCGGCAGGCUUAACACAUGCAAGUCGAGCGGAGACUUCGGUCUUAGCGGCGAACGGGUGAGUAAUACCUAGGAAUCUGCCUAUUAGUGGGGGAUAACGGCUCGAAAGGGUCGCUAAUACCGCAUACGUCCUACGGGAGAAAGUGGGGGAUCUUCGGACCUCACGCUAAUAGAUGAGCCUAGGCCGGAUUAGCUAGUUGGUAGGGUAAAGGCCUACCAAGGCGACGAUCCGUAGCUGGUCUGAGAGGAUGAUCAGCCACACUGGAACUGAGACACGGUCCAGACUCCUACGGGAGGCAGCAGUGGGGAAUAUUGGACAAUGGGGGCAACCCUGAUCCAGCCAUGCCGCGUGAGUGAAGAAGGCCUCGGUUGUAAG
rnacentral:rRNA from 1 species